CCUAACUUCGUGCCAGUCGCCCGGGGAAUACGAGUGGUGCAUGCGUUAUGCGGAAUUACUGGGCGUAAAGCUUGCGUAGGUGGUCGUUUAAGUCCGUUGUGAAAGCCCUGGGCUCAACCUGGGAACGGCAGUGGAUACUGGAAGUCUAGAGUGCGGUAGAGGGUAGUGGAAUUCCCGGUGUAGCAGUGAAAUGCGUAGAGAUCUGGAGGAAUACCGGUGGCGAAGGCGGCCCCCUGGACAAAGACUGACGCUCAUGCACGAAAGCGUGGGGAGCAAACAGGAUUAGAUACCCCGGUAGUC
rnacentral:rRNA from 1 species